AACGAACGCUGGCGGCAUGCCUAACACAUGCAAGUCGAACGGGACCACCGGGUCUAGUUGCGCUUGGGUGCGUAACGCGUGGGAAGCUGCACGUAGGUAUCGAAUACUUCUCUGAAGGGGGUGCUAAUGCAGGAUAAUGUAUUCGGACAAAAGAUUUAUCGCCUUUGGAUGGGCCGUGGUUGGUUUAGCCGGUUGGUAGGGGAAAAGCCUACUAAGGCGACGAUCGUUAGCUGGGUUGAGAGGAUGAGCCGCAACGCUUGGGCUAAGACACGGCCCAGACUCCUAGGCAAGGGAGGAGAGGGGAAUAUUGGACAAUGGGCGAAGGCCUGAUCCAGCAAUGCCGGGAAAGUGAUGAAGUCGGUAGAGAUGUACAGCUCUUUUACCCGAGGUGAUAAUGACGGUACCGGGAGAAUAAGCACCGGCUAACUCCGUG
rnacentral:rRNA from 1 species